rnacentral:rRNA from 1 species
AACGUAGGAGACAAACGUUAUCCGGAGUUACUGGGCGUAAAGGGCGUGUAGGCGGUUAGUUAAGUCUGGCGUGAAAGCUCUCGGCUAAACCGGGAGAGGUCGUUGGAUACUGGCUGACUAGAGGACGGUAGAGGCGUGUGGAAUUCCGGGUGUAGUGGUGAAAUGCGUAGAGAUCCGGAGGAACACCAGUGGCGAAGGCGACACGCUGGGCCGUAUCUGACGCUAAAGCGCGACAGCAUGGGGAGCAAACGGG